rnacentral:tRNA from 1 species
GCCCCGGUAUCCCAACCGGCAGAGGAAGUGGCCUCAAAAUCCACGCAGUGUGGGUUCGAGUCCCACCCGGGGCA